UCGGGCGUAGUUCAGUCGGUAGAACAAUGGACUGUUAAUCCACAGGUCGCUGGUUCGAGUCCAGCCGCCCGAGCCA
rnacentral:tRNA from 1 species